UUGACGCGCAUGAAUGGAUUAACGAGAUUCCUACUGUCCCUAACUACUAUCUAGCGAAACUACAGCCAAGGGAUCCGACGCUUGGCAGACAGCAGCGGGGAAAGAAGACCCUGUUGAGCUUGACUCUAGCUUGAUUUUGUGAAGAAUCAUGAGAGGUGUAGAAUAGGUGGGAGGCUCUGCCGUCCGUGAAAUACCACCACUCUCAUCGAUUCUUUACUCAUUCGAUUGUACGCGAGUGGGCUCUGCCCAACUUGUUGUGUUAAGUGCAGCUAUUUGAUAGCGGCACGACGUGUGUCGAUGACAGUAUCAGGCGGGGAGUUUGACUGGGGCGGUACAUCUGUCAAAUCGUAACGCAGGUGUCCUAAGGCUAGCUCAGUAAGGACGGAAACCUUACGUAGAGCAAAAGGGCAAAAGCUCGCUUGAUCUUGACUUUCAGUAUUAGUACAGACCGCGAAAGCGUGGCCUAUCGAUCCUUUUAAUCCAGAUUGUUUCUGGUAAGAGGUGUCAGAAAAGUUGCCACAGGGAUACCUGGCUUGUGGCAGCCAAGCGUCCAUAGCGACGUUGCUUUGUGAUCCUU
rnacentral:rRNA from 1 species